UACCAAGUUUACAACUCACGGAGAGAGAUACAAGGAGACUAGAAUAUGGACAGGAUAUGGAAAGGAAGACAAACAAGAGCACACAAGUUUAUUACUUAGGAAAUGUGCAAGGCUAGGAUGACCCAAACACUUAUAAUGGAUCUCUAUUUAUAGUGGUCCUGGAGGGGACAACCUGAUAGGGUGAAAUCUAGCACACCAAUAAGGCUAAGAGGUAUGAAACAAAAACGUUCUUGAUCCGAAGAUGCUACACUUGGAGGUGCAGUCCUAAGCUAAUCGUUUCCUGCCUGUGCUUUUUUUGGCUAAGAACUUUGUGCAGGUCCACAUGGCAACAACAAAAGCAACAAAAUGAGAGAGAGAGAGAGAGGAAGGGAGAGAGGGAGAGAGAGAGGGAGGAAGGGAGAGAGAGGGAGGGAGGGAGAGGGAGGGAGGGAGAGAGAUAGAGAGAGAGAGAGAGAGACCAGA